rnacentral:misc_RNA from 1 species
AGCAGCCGCGGUAAUUCCAGCUCCAAUAGCGUAUAUUAAAGUUGUUGCAGUUAAAAAGCUCGUAGUUGAAUUUCGGGGUUAGCAGGUCGGUCGUGCCAUCGGUAUGAACUGGUCUCGCUGAUCCCUCCCUCUUGACGAACUGUGAUGCCAUUAAUUUGGUGUCGCAGGGAAUCAGGACUGUUACUUUGAAAAAAUUAGAGUGUUUAAAGCAGGCUCACGCUUGAAUACAUUAGCAUGGAAUAAUGAAAUAGGACGUUUGAUCCUAUUUUGUUGGCUUCUAGGAUUGACGUAAUGAUUAAUAGGGAUAGUUGGGGGCAUUAGUAUUCAAUUGUCAGAGGUGAAAUUCUUGGAUUUAUUGAAGACUAACUACUGCGAAAGCAUUUGCCAAGGAUGUUUUCAUUAAUCAAGAACGAAAGUUAGGGGAUCGAAGACGAUCAGAUACCGUCGUAGUCUUAACCAUAA